AUUGAACGCUGGCGGCAUGCCUUACACAUGCAAGUCGAACGGCAGCAUGAUCUAGCUUGCUAGAUUGAUGGCGAGUGGCGAACGGGUGAGUAAUACAUCGGAACGUGCCCUGUAGUGGGGGAUAACUAGUCGAAAGAUUAGCUAAUACCGCAUACGACCUGAGGGUGAAAGUGGGGGACCGCAAGGCCUCAUGCUAUAGGAGCGGCCGAUGUCUGAUUAGCUAGUUGGUGAGGUAAAGGCUCACCAAGGCGACGAUCAGUAGCUGGUCUGAGAGGACGAUCAGCCACACUGGGACUGAGACACGGCCCAGACUCCUACGGGAGGCAGCAGUGGGGAAUUUUGGACAAUGGGCGAAAGCCUGAUCCAGCAAUGCCGCGUGUGUGAAGAAGGCCUUCGGGUUGUAAAGCACUUUUGUCCGGAAAGAAAUGGCUCUGGUUAAUACCUGGGGUCGAUGACGGUACUGGAAGAAUAAGGACCGGCUAACUACGUG
rnacentral:rRNA from 1 species